UGUCCGUCUGUCCCCGGCCGUCUGUCCCCAUCCGUGUCCGUCUGUCUGUCCCUGUCUGUCCCCAUCCCUGUCCGUCUGUCCCUGUCUGUCCCCAUCCGUGUCCGUCUGUCCCCGUCCUUGUCCGUCUGUCCCUGUCCCCAUCCAUGUCCGUCUGUCCGUCCCCAUCUGUCCCUGUCCCCAUCCCUGUCCGUCUGUCCCCAUCCGUGUCCGUCUGUCCCUGUCCCCGCCCCUGUCCGUCUGUCCCUGGCCGUCUGUCCCCAUCCGUGUCCGUCUGUCCCUACCCGUGUCCGUCCGUCUGUCCCCAUCCGUCCGUCCCCGUCCCUGUCCAUCUGUCUGUCCCUGUCUGUCCCCAUCCAUGUCCGUCUGUCUGUCCUCAUCCGUCCGUCCCCAUCCCUGUCUGUCCGUCUGUCCCCAUCCGUGUCCGUCUGUCCCUGUCCCCAUCCCUGUCCGUC
rnacentral:lncRNA from 1 species